CAACGUACGUGUUUGGAACAGCACCGACCCCCAAGGCGGCGCCCAGCCGCUCACUGCGCGCCUUCCCACAGCUGUGGAGGGGCCGCUCGGAGCGCGGGGCCGCGCGCUGCCACAGGGCUGAGGAGCGGGGCGGGGGUCUGCGGCUGAAGGACCGCCACAGGGCUCGUCACUCUGUCGGUGCUCAUCUCAUUGCUGAGCGACCCUCGGAAGCAAAGCACUGCGUACGAAACGCGUUGCUAAAGAUUGGAUUUGCUCUACUUUUGCGUAGCGGCGCGAGCGACGGGAAGAGCUCGAGCUCUCGCUUCGAUCCCAGCUCCCCUCACAGAGCAACGGCCGCGGGAUGCCGCGCCGCCCGCUGCGAGGCCGAGCUUUUUGCCGCAGCUCUCCACCAGACCGCGUGCAACUAAAAGGUCCUGCUGAGUGGUCGUACAGGGAAUUCAGCCAACUAACCCGUUGCUGACGCUUGCACCGGUUCAACAGUCUCUUCACAGGGUUCUAGAAUACUCCCAAUUCCUGUUGAGGCACUACCUACCGAGGCGUUUCUCCUGUGGCAGAGUUCAGACAGGCUGGCUGAUCUGGAGUGACACGUGCUGUAUCCUGCCGGGAAAGCACAGCAGAGCUAGGCGAGCCCGUCUCCAUCGAUCAACUACAUGAAGAAUUAGUUACCAGCUACCUGACAGUUUUGACUGCUGACUUGCAUAGCUUGAUGUUCUGGAAUGUCCGCACGCACCAAUUUCAUCAGGGACUGAGGCACUCUUUGAUGAAGCAUCUGCAACACAUGCCAGGCAGUGAAGCCUUUACAAGAUCUGCCCCACUAGGAAAAAUUAAGAAGCUACACAAGCAGGAAAGGAACACUAAGGCACAGCUCUUCUCUCUGUACUGCAAGCAGCUUUGGAGCUGACAUCAGAAACCUUACC
rnacentral:lncRNA from 1 species